GUGAACGCUGGCGGUAGGCCUCACGCAUGCAAGUCGCACGGCAGCACAGUAAGAGCUUGCUCUUACGGGUGGCGAGUGGCGGACGGGUGAGGAAUACAUCGGAAUCUACUUUUUCGUGGGGGAUAACGUAGGGAAACUUACGCUAAUACCGCAUACGACCUACGGGUGAAAGCAGGGGAUCCUCGGACCUUGCGCGAUUGAAUGAGCCGAUGUCGGAUUAGCUAGUUGGCGGGGUAAAGGCCCACCAAGGCGACGAUCCGUAGCUGGUCUGAGAGGAUGAUCAGCCACACUGGAACUGAGACACGGUCCAGACUCCUAGGGGAGGCAGCAGUGGGGAAUAUUGGACAAUGGGCGCAAGCCUGAUCCAGCCAUACCGCGUGGGUGAAGAAGGCCUUCGGGUUGUAAAGCCCUUUUGUUGGGAAAGAAAAGCAGCAGGUUAAUACCCCGCUGUUCCGACGGUACCCAAAGAAUAAGCACCGGCUAACUUCGUG
rnacentral:rRNA from 1 species